rfam:Gongylonema pulchrum genome assembly, scaffold: GPTH_scaffold0005200
GGGUCGGUGGUGUAGUGGUAAUACAUUGUGUUCGAACGUUAAGAGGAAUGGUUCGACUCCCUCCCGAUCCA